UCCACAUUGGAAGUUAUUAUGCUCUUGGCUCUAUUUAGUGGAAAAAUGUGUUAUUAUGUACCAACCAUUGGUAUUGUCACUCAUGAGUAUAUUGUGUAGUAAAAGAUGAAAUGAAGUUAACUUAUUACUACAAGUACACGUAAUUUACCAAAACGUAAUGAUGGUUGUGUUUUGAGUGUUGCUGACACAUGAUUAGUACUGAUGCUUUUUCUGAGACAUAGUUUUCCAAAGCUGAGUUUGUUUGUCAAGGUUAUGCCUCGAAUUUAUUUCUUUAAAAGCGAAAAGCUUUCCAGAUUUUGAUGGUCAGAAGUGGCCGAGCAAAAUGUAUGUCGUGAGUGCUUGUUCACAGAGUUGUACACGAAAAUAUGUAACGGCGGUGUCGCAGCAAACCAGCGCUGUUGUACCGGUGCGGCUGGUCUUAGCAUCAGCGCCGCUGUGUGGGUGCUGCUGGUCGCGGCACGAGCGCUGCUGAGCCGGUGCUGCUGGUGGUGCACGAGCGCUGCUGAGCCGGUGCUGCUGGUGGUGCACGAGCGCUGCUGAGCCGGUGCUGCUGGUCGCGGCACGAGCGCUGCUGAGCCGGUGCUGCUGGUGGUGCACGAGCGCUGCUGAGCCGGUGCUGCUGGUGGUGCACGAGCGCUGCUGAGCCGGUGCUGCUGGUGGUGCACGAGCGCUGCUGAGCCGGUGCUGCUGGUGGUGCACGAGCGCUGCUGAGCCGGUGCUGCUGGUGGUGCACGAGCGCUGCUGAGCCGGUGCUGCUGGUGGCGGCACGAGCGCUGCUGUGCCGGUGCUGCUGGCAGAUUGCUGUCGUAGCUUGCCAUGAUGACGUCAAUGUGGUGUUGAAAGAAGACGACUCUGGUGGUGAAGUUACUGCCGAGUCGAGUGGACGCUGUGGUCUGCUUAGCCUUAUUGAAAGUUGAGAGCACGCUAGUGGUGCUGAUGUGUUGGGUGGGCCACUGAUCGAGGUAGUAUUGUUGCGAUAAUCCAUGUUGGAUUAUAUAUCACGUUGUUUCACUGAUUCUGUCAUUCACGAUGCACUGAAUUUUAUUUAUAUUCGUGUAAAGUCUGAAGUACUUGUUCUCAAUAACAUUUUUCUAUAGACCUUUGCCCAAACUUUUGAGCUUAUGCCGGUGAGUCACUGGGAGGUAAGCAAACUUUUGGAGCCUAUGCCUACAGUGCGGAAACCUUGCGCGGUAUGCAAACUUUUGAGCCUAUGCCGGCGAGUCACUGGGAGGUAUACCAGUGUUUUGUUAUUUAUUUUGAACCAAUUAUUUGAUUUAAAGUUGAUGUUAUUUAUUUUCGAGUCGCUGGGUGGUAUACCAGUGUUUUGUUAUUUAUUUUGUAACAAUUAUUUGAUUUAAAGUUGAUGUUAUUUAUUUUCGAGGCGCUGGGUGGUAUACCAGUGUUCUGUUAUUAAUUUUGUACCUGUUAUAUGAUUUAAAGUUGAUGUUAUUUAUUUUUCAUUGUUUAAAUGAAUUAGUUCUUUGUUUGAGGUUCGUAAUACCUCGAAUAAUGUUUAUUCUGAAAGUUUCAUAUGUCCAGAAAACGAUGACGACCACGUUAACCAAUCGAGAUUCAAUUAUGACGAAAUUGAGCCAGGUCCAACUCGCUUAUUGAAUGUGCAGGUGUUCCGAGACACAACCAGGCUCAGCUAAAUCCUGCCGAGGACGUCAGGGUGUCAGGAGAGGCCGUGUUAGCUGCCAGUGGUUACAUAAAGGGCAGCAGAGACGAGCGACCAUCGACACCCCACCAUUCAGUCGUGUAUCUCUGCUUGGAGGAUUCCAUUUUCGAACGUCAUUGUGACAAGACAUGUUAUAGUUUGAC
rnacentral:lncRNA from 1 species